rnacentral:hammerhead_ribozyme from 1 species
AUCCAGCUGAUGAGUCCCAAAUAGGAAGAAACGCGUGUCCUGGAU